AACAAAAAACAAAACAAACAAAACCGAAAAAGUCAAAUAUUUUCUAACAAGAUUGGGUUUGUUUUGUUUUGGGUUUUGUGAACGUGGUUUGUCUUGGAUUGGUGUUUAUUUCGUGUUGGCGAGAAAGGUU
rnacentral:ribozyme from 14 species